rnacentral:rRNA from 1 species
AGUUUGAUCCUGGCUCAGGAUGAACGCUGGCGGCGUGCCUAAUACAUGCAAGUCGAGCGGUAAGGCCCUUCGGGGUACACGAGCGGCGGACGGCUGAGUAACACGUAGGAACGUACCCCAAAGUGAGGGAUAAGCACCAGAAAUGGUGUCUAAUACCGCAUGUGCUCUAAGGAGUAAAGCUCCGGCGCUUUGGGAACGGCCUGCGCAUGAUUAGCUAGAUGGUGAGGUAAUGGCUCACCAUGGCGACGAUCAUUAGCUGGUCUGAGAGGAUGAUCAGCCAGACUGGGACUGAGACACGGCCCAGACUCCUACGGGAGGCAGCAGUAGGGAAUUUUCCACAAUGGGCGAAAGCCUGAUGGAGCAACGCCGCGUGCAGGAUGAAUGCCUUCGGGUUGUAAACUGCUUUUAUAUGUGACGAAUAUGACGGUAGCAUAUGAAUAAGGAUCGGCUAACUCCGUGCCAGCAGCCGCGGUCAUACGGAGGAUCCAAGCGUUAUCCGGAAUUACUGGGCGUAAAGAGUUGCGUAGGCGGCAUAGUAAGCAGAUAGUGAAAGCGUGUGGCUCAACCAUACUCACAUUAUCUGAACUGCUAAGCUAGAGGACGAGAGAGGUCACUGGAAUUCCUAGUGUAGGAGUGAAAUCCGUAGAUAUUAGGAGGAACACCAAUGGCGUAGGCAGGUGACUGGCUCGUUCCUGACGCUCAGGCACGAAAGCGUGGGGAGCAAACGGGAUUAGAUACCCCGGUAGUCCACGCCGUAAACGAUGGAUGCUAGCUGUUAGAGGUAUCGACCCCUCUAGUAGCGAAGCUAACGCGUUAAGCAUCCCGCCUG